CAUCGAUGCUGCCUCAGCAAUCACCACCUGGCUCUCUGCAAUGGGGAAAGAACUGGUUGCCUCCCGUGUUUUGCCAAAUCUCGUGCUAAGAAUUAGGGCACCAGAGGGGUUGCAGCAGGUGUUCAGAACCAGCUGAGCAUUUGCUUGUUCCACUUUGGGAAUACAGAAGAAAAUGUGAAGCUGAAGUGGCUCUUAAUAGGGAGUAAUAUAGCAACUUGGUGGACACGUGGCAUCCUGCCAAAGGCAACCCUGGACAGCUUCUAGCCCAUGCCUCAGAUAGACUGCAGAGACUGAAGCACAGUCAAAGGGGUAAAAUGCAGAGCAUGAAGCUGACACAGAGGCAUUCUUCCCCAAGAAGUCAAGUGGACAUAGAGUGACAGCCACGUGGUGCUUUGGUGCCAUGCAGGGCAUGGAGGGAAGAGAUCACACAACCCAGACUGGUCAAUCACUUUGAAAAACAGGAAAUCAGCUGAGUAUUAUCCCUAUGAGACACACGUGCAGUGCUUGAUUCACAGCUCUUUUACUACAGAAGAGUCAAGAAGUGUGCCUUGGAGGUGAUGUCAAGAGUUACGGAUCAAUUAACCUUGGAUGGCAGCACAUAUGGCAGCACUUAUGGCAGUCUCUGAGCACCUCAGGUCAUCAUCUCUGUGUUGGUUGUGCUCAUGCCAGAGAUUGCUAAGAAACCUGACUACAGUUUGCAAAACCCCCAGACACUGAAACAAGCACCACAGAAUAGUAAGAGGACACUGC
rnacentral:lncRNA from 1 species